rnacentral:lncRNA from 1 species
AGGAUGUUUUCUGUGCGGUUUUCCGAUCUGUGUAAUUUUCAUAGCAUAGAUUAUCUUUUAAAUGCUCAGAUGGAUGUUUGUCCUCUGUUCCAGUUCCUUUCAAUUUGGGUUAUUCUUAUAUUUUCGUUUUCGAUCUGGUGAUGUGAUUGGCUUUAUUGACCUAGAAAAUCUCUUAUCUAUAUUUUCGUUUUCGAUCUGGG